UUUCACUGGAGAGCCUUACCUAUUUGAGGCCUUCUAAGGCACUGAAGGAAGAGAAUGAUGGUGAGAGGGAGAUGGGAGCAACAGAUAAUGUGGAUUUCUGGUACACAGAGGGGCUUGAAAGAAAUGUUGCCUGGACCCAAGCCAUUGCUACCACAUUCUAUUUCUGAAGUAUCUUUAAGUGGACACAGAGCUUGAAGCUUUACAUCAAAAGCACUGUCAUCAAAACUUGUGCCCUUCCUGGGGAUGUUCCUGCCUGCUGUGGACACAUUGUACUGGAGACUGCUGCAGGACAAUGCAGAGGUGGCUGGCGCACAGCUCUUUGUCCCCUUUGGUUCCUGCAUCUGCCCCUGGUUACUUCCCCCCACCUGUAGCCAGGCAGAUCCCUGCUUUGUCCAGUCUUGCCAAGAAAAUAAUAACACAGCUUCCAAAAACAGAAGUGGGGUUAUUUUUUUCUGUUUUACAGUAAAAAUGAGUGGACUGAAGUGACUCAUACCACUUGACCCUUGUGUCUGCAGCUAUAUGGUCCUUGCAGGACAUCCUUCUGAGCACCACAAGACCAGUGCAAUAUGGGGCCUGUUUUUCUCUCAGACACACUCUUCCUUCUCUCUGUUCCCUGGCCAGCAUGGGCCCCAUUUCUGUUGUCUCCUUGCUCCUGACAGGUCAGUUUUUAACCAGAGAGAUCCCUUGGCUAGGGCAGCUCUGAGCUCCCCAUGUGGCUUCACCAAGGGUAGGGACAUUCCCUGUGGACUGGAUGUGCAAGGUGAGGGACUUGGGGAUGCAGACACGAUGGGGGUGAACAUCCAGUCAGCACAUGGGCUGCAGCCAGCCACCCUCCAUGCCUGGGGAAGGACAGAGCCAGAGGUGUGCUUCUGAGUCACUGCGUUCCCCAGACUCCUCUGGGCCUGGCACAGCUUAAUCACCACUACUUGCCUGGAGCCAAGCCCAGCUGCCUUCCCAGCUGCUGGUGGCACUGUGCCUGUUUUCCCUGGGAAACCCAGGAGGAAACCUACUGCCCUUGUGCUGGAGGAGCAAUGGCUGUGGGCCCAAGCAGGCCACACUUUGAUUCUGGUGAUGUUGGCAUCCGCCUACUGGAAUCUCAGGCUUCACUCAGGAUUAUGCUUCUGUAUGUGAGACUGAGCCCCACCUUGUUGCAUGGACCUUCCCUCGGAGGGGGCACACACAACAGGUGUUGGCAGGGCAGCAGAGGCCUGGCCUGAGCAGCCUGUGAGAGUCCCUUGCAUGGGCUGUGAAAAACCCAUCUCAUCGGGAAACUUGUAGUGAGCUGUGGGAGAACUUGGCACUGGAGACUGGCGUGGAAAAUAUUAACAGCCUGUAAGAAAGUCUGGCUUGUGCUGCUGUGGGGAGAUCAGCAACUGGCAGGGAUACAAUUCAUGAAGGAAACUCCUGAGCUGCUCUGUGAGAGGGCCGCUCUGGAACUGCGCAUUGAGAUGGGAGUUAUUGCAAAACAGCGUACGCUU